rnacentral:rRNA from 1 species
AGAGUUUGAUCCUGGCUCAGGAUGAGGCUGGCGGCGUGCCUAAUACAUGCAAGUUGAGCGGUAAGGCCUCUUCGGAGGUACACGAGCGGCGGACGGCUGAGUAACGCGUAGGAACGUACCCCAAAGUGAGGGAUAACUGCUCGAAAGAGUAGCUAAUACCGCAUGUGCUCCACGGAGUAAAGCUUUAUGCGCUUUGGGAACGGCCUGCGUCCGAUUAGCUUGUUGGCGGAGUAAAAGCCCACCAAGGCGACGAUCGGUAGCUGGUCUGAGAGGAUGAUCAGCCAGACUGGGACUGAGACACGGCCCAGACUCCUACGGGAGGCAGCAGUAGGGAAUUUUCCACAAUGGGCGAAAGCCUGAUGGAGCAACGCCGCGUGCAGGAUGAAUGCCUUCGGGUUGUAAACUGCUUUUGUUGGUGACGAUUAUGACGGUAACCAACGAAUAAGGACCUGCUAACUACGUGCCAGCAGCCGCGGUCAUACGUAGGGUCCAAGCGUUAUCCGGAAUUACUGGGCGUAAAGAGUUGCGUAGGUGGCAUAGUAAGCAAAUAGUGAAAGCGUACGGCUCAACCGUAUAUCCAUUAUUUGAACUGCUAAGCUAGAGGAUGAGAGAGGUAGAUGGAAUUCCUAAUGUAGGGGUAAUAUCCGUAGAUAUUAGGAGGAACACCGAUGGCGUAGGCAGUCUACUGGCUCAUUCCUGACACUAAUGCACGAAAGCGUGGGGAGCAAACAGGAUUAGAUACCCUAGUAGUCC